rnacentral:rRNA from 1 species
CACCCGCAGCUCGAGUGUUGGUCACUUUUAUUGAGCCUAAAGCGUUCGUAGCCGGUUUUGUAAAUCCUCAGACAAAUUCUCCUGCUUAACGGGAGAUACUCUGGAGAGACUGCGAAACUAGGGACCGGGUGAGGUUGAAGGUACUUCUGGGGUAGGGGUAAAAUCCUGUAAUCCUGGAAGGACGACCGGUGGCGAAGGCGUUCAACUAGAACGGAUCCGACGGUGAGGAACGAGGGCUAGGGUAGCAAACCGG